UAAAAGGCAACAUCCCAGAUUGUUCUGUAACCAACGAAGUUAUAAUGAUAUAUAUAUUACAUGCCACGGCGAGAGUUAUAUGUAGCAUGUAAGACGUUACAUUGAGACCCAGUAUUUUAUUGCUCAGGAAUUACAGUGACAGAGGGCUUUCCCUAUAAUGAGGUGUGCAACAAUAGCCGGGCACAACGUAUGAUCACUGAGGGAGUUACAAUGAGGAGUAAUCACUGUCAUGCAGAAGUAAAUGCUUAUAAUAAUACAGUGCCUCAGAAGAAGAUCUAGAAGAGGACUAUUCUGAAGAAGAGCUAGAAGAGGACUAUUCUGAUGCAGAGAGAAAUGGCUCUUGUG